GAUGAACGCUGGCGGCGUGCCUAAUACAUGCAAGUCGAGCGAACAGACGAGGAGCUUGCUCCUCUGACGUUAGCGGCGGACGGGUGAGUAACACGUGGAUAACCUACCUAUAAGACUGGGAUAACUUCGGGAAACCGGAGCUAAUACCGGAUAAUAUAUUGAACCGCAUGGUUCAAUAGUGAAAGACGGUUUUGCUGUCACUUAUAGAUGGAUCCGCGCCGCAUUAGCUAGUUGGUAAGGUAACGGCUUACCAAGGCAACGAUGCGUAGCCGACCUGAGAGGGUGAUCGGCCACACUGGAACUGAGACACGGUCCAGACUCCUACGGGAGGCAGCAGUAGGGAAUCUUCCGCAAUGGGCGAAAGCCUGACGGAGCAACGCCGCGUGAGUGAUGAAGGUCUUCGGUUCGUAAAACUCUGUUAUUAGGGAAGAACAAAUGUGUAAGUAACUAUGCACGUCUUGACGGUACCUAAGCAGAAAGCCACGGCUAACUACGU
rnacentral:rRNA from 1 species